UACGUAGGGUGCAAGCGUUAAUCGGAAUUACUGGGCGUAAAGCGCGCGUAGGCGGCUUUGCAAGUCGAUUGUGAAAUCCCCAGGCUUAACCUGGGAACUGCAUUCGAGACUGCAUAGCUAGAGUAUGGGAGAGGGAAGUGGAAUUUCAGGUGUAGCGGUGAAAUGCGUAGAUAUCUGAAGGAACAUCAGUGGCGAAAGCGACUUCCUGGACCAAUACUGACGCUCAUGUGCGAAAGCGUGGGGAGCAAACAGG
rnacentral:rRNA from 1 species